rnacentral:rRNA from 1 species
GUUAAGCGACUAAGCGUACACGGUGGAUGCCCUGGCAGUCAGAGGCGAUGAAGGACGUGCUAAUCUGCGAUAAGCGUCGGUGAGGUGAUAUGAACCGUUAUAACCGGCGAUUUCCGAAUGGGGAAACCCAGUGUGUUUCGACACACUAUCAUUAACUGAAUCCAUAGGUUAAUGAGGCGAACCGGGGGAACUGAAACAUCUAAGUACCCCGAGGAAAAGAAAUCAACCGAGAUUCCCCCAGUAGCGGCGAGCGAACGGGGAGGAGCCCAGAGCCUGAAUCAGUGUGUGUGUUAGUGGAAGCGUCUGGAAAGGCGUGCGAUACAGGGUGACAGCCCCGUACACAAAAAUGCACAUAUUGUGAGCUCGAUGAGUAGGGCGGGACACGUGGUAUCCUGUCUGAAUAUGGGGGGACCAUCCUCCAAGGCUAAAUACUCCUGACUGACCGAUAGUGAACCAGUACCGUGAGGGAAAGGCGAAAAGAACCCCGGCGAGGGGAGUGAAAAAGAACCUGAAACCGUGUACGUACAAGCAGUGGGAGCCUCUUAAUGGGGUGACUGCGUACCUUUUGUAUAAUGGGUCAGCGACUUAUAUUCUGUAGCAAGGUUAACCGAAUAGGGGAGCCGAAGGGAAACCGAGUCUUAACUGGGCGUUAAGUUGCAGGGUAUAGACCCGAAACCCGGUGAUCUAGCCAUGGGCAGGUUGAAGGUUGGGUAACACUAACUGGAGGACCGAACCGACUAAUGUUGAAAAAUUAGCGGAUGACUUGUGGCUGGGGGUGAAAGGCCAAUCAAACCGGGAGAUAGCUGGUUCUCCCCGAAAGCUAUUUAGGUAGCGCCUCGUGAAUUCAUCUCCGGGGGUAGAGCACUGUUUCGGCAAGGGGGUCAUCCCGACUUACCAACCCGAUGCAAACUGCGAAUACCGGAGAAUGUUAUCACGGGAGACACACGGCGGGUGCUAACGUCCGUCGUGAAGAGGGAAACAACCCAGACCGCCAGCUAAGGUCCCAAAGUCAUGGUUAAGUGGGAAACGAUGUGGGAAGGCCCAGACAGCCAGGAUGUUGGCUUAGAAGCAGCCAUCAUUUAAAGAAAGCG